rnacentral:tRNA from 1 species
GGACAGUGGCUCAGUGGCAGAGCAUCUUCUUGGCAUGCAGAAGUUACCAGGUUCAGUCCCUGGCAUCUCCA